UUUUAAUAUAUUUUUAUAAAUGGAUUUCAUUACAAUUGGUUCCUCUGUAACAUUAUAUAUUUUAUUUUAUGCAUUUAAACACUAUUCAGAGGAGUCCAUAGGUUUAGGCAGAGAGAAAGAGAGUGGGAAAAAGUGGGAGAGAGAGAGAGAGAGAAAUUAAACCCCUAUUCUAUAUCAUGCAGAACAAUUUCUCAGAGCAGAUGUUGGCAGGAGGAAGGAAGAGAGGAUACAAGAAUAUUGGAUGCCUUGCUGGAUUGAUGAUAAGAGAGAAACAUCAACAGGACAGAGCAAGAAACAUGGUGGAUUCCCCAGGACAUUGGGUGGAAUCUCUGUAGUUAAAUUGUAGAAGAACAUGGACCAAGAUGAGCAAUUAUGGAUAAAUUGAGAUGUGCAUAAAAAGUAACAAGAUCACAGACCAAUCGAGAUAUGAAUACCAACCAAAAUUCUGAUCUUUUUCACAGAAGCAGCUAAGUCAUACAUUCUUGUUCUGUACUUGGGAGUUGAAAAAAAUUUUUCCACAAAUGUAGGACUACAAGUAUUUCAAUUAAAUUUUAAUUUGUUAAUUUCAGUUCUUUUAUUUAACUUACUAAGGUUUCUUUUCAUCUUGAUAGUCUCAAUGAAUCUUUAGCUUUGUGCCAUGUGGACUUUUGAUAAUUACCUUCUUUGCUUUUCAUUCAGGUUAUUGAACUAAAUGGGAUCAAGGAAAGAAUCCUGAAAAGUAGAUCUCUGGAGGUCUCACUCUAGUUUGCCAUCAGAGUUGUUCAGUCAGCUAUGAAUCUACCUCUACAAUCAACCCAUUAGUAUUUCUAAAUCCUUUCUAAAAGGGUACUAGGGUGUGCUUUGUUAAAUAUUUUCUUGAAAUGAAAAAAUUAUCUCUGUAGAAUUUUCUUCAACUUUCAGUCUGGACUGUUUUUCACUAAAUUUGCACAUUUAUAAGUGUAGAGUGCUGCCAUUGAGGAACUUCCUCUAAUAAUGCAAAUCAGCACUUUCUUUGCAAUUUAUAUUCUUGGUUUCCUGGGCUAUUAGAGGUUAAGCGACUUGCAUAAUCAUAUAGCAAAUAUUUGUCAGAUAGGACUUGAACCAGAUCAUUCUGACUCCAAAGCCAACUCCAGCUAUUACAAAACACUGCCACUUAUCAGUCUAGUUACCCUAUUACAAAAGGUACCAGAGAGUUUGGAGUGAUUUUUUUCCUACAGAACCCCUUGAUAACACUUCAUGGUUACCACAUUCCUUUCUAUGUUAAC
rnacentral:lncRNA from 1 species